AGAGUUUGAUCAUGGCUCAGAUUGAACGCUGGCGGUAGGCUUAACACAUGCAAGUCGUGCGAGAAAGUAUCUUCGGAUAUGAGUAGAGCGGCGGACGGGUGAGUAACGCGUAGGAAUCUACCUAGUAGAAGGGGAUAGCCCGAGGAAACUCGGAUUAAUACCGUAUACCUCCUUCGGGAGAAAGAAGGCCUCUCUUUGAAGCUUUCGCUACUAGAUGAGCCUGCGUAAGAUUAGCUUGUUGGUGAGGUAAAGGCUCACCAAGGCUACGAUCUUUAGCGGGUCUGAGAGGACGAUCCGCCACAUUGGGACUGAGACACGGCCCAGACUCCUACGGGAGGCAGCAGUGGGGAAUAUUGGACAAUGGGCGAAAGCCUGAUCCAGCCAUACCGCGUGUGUGAAGAAGGCCCUAGGGUUGUAAAGCACUUUAAGUUGGGAAGAAAAGUUAUUGGUUAAUACCCAAUGACCGUGACAUUACCAUCAGAAUAAGGACCGGCUAAUUCCGUGCCAGCAGCCGCGGUAAUACGGAAGGUCCAAGCGUUAAUCGGAAUUACUGGGCGUAAAGCGCGCGUAGGUGGUUUAUUAAGUUGGGUGUGAAAUCCCCGGGCUCAACCUGGGAACUGCAUCCAAAACUGAUUCACUAGAGUACGAUA
rnacentral:rRNA from 1 species